UUACGGGAGGCAGCAGUGGGGAAUUUUGCGCAAUGGGCUAACGCCUGACGCAGCAACGCCGCGUGGAGGAUGAAGGUCUUUGGAUUGUAAACUCCUGUCGACCGGGAAAAAGCGAGCCGACCUAACACGUCGGUGAGUUGAUUGUACCGGUGGAGGAAGCCCCGGCUAACUCUGUGCCAGCAGCCGCGGUAAUACAGAGGGGGCAAGCGUUAUUCGGAAUUAUUGGGCGUAAAGGGCGCGUAGGCGGCUUGGCAAGUGGAAGGUGAAAUCCCUCGGCUUAACCGAGGAACUGCCCUCCAAACUGCUUUGCUUGAGGCCGGGAGAGGCGAGUGGAAUUCCCAGUGUAGCGGUGAAAUGCGUAGAUAUUGGGAGGAACACCAGUGGCGAAGGCGGCUCGCUGGACCGGUUCUGACGCUGAGGCGCGAAAGCGUGGGGAGCAAACGGGAUUAGAUACCCCGGU
rnacentral:rRNA from 1 species